rnacentral:rRNA from 1 species
GUAGGGAAUAUUUGGCAAUGGAGGCAACUCUGACCCAGCCAUGCCGCGUGCAGGAAGACGGUCCUCUGGAUUGUAAACUGCUUUUGAAUGGGAAGAACACUACCCUUGCGAGGGUAUUUGACGGUACUAUUAGAAUAAGCACCGGCUAACUCCGUGCCAGCAGCCGCGGUAAUACGGAGGGUGCAAGCGUUAUCCGGAUUUAUUGGGUUUAAAGGGUGCGUAGGCGGCUUGAUAAGUCUGGGGUUAAAGGCGGCAGCUUAACUGUACGCAUGCCCUAGAUACUGUUGAGCUUGAGUGACCUGGAGGUAGCUGGAAUUCCCUGUGUAGCGGUGAAAUGCAUAGAUACGGGGAGGAAUACCGAUUGCGAAGGCAUGUUACUACGGGUAAACUGACGCUGAUGCACGAAAGCGUGGGGAUCAAACAGGAUUAGAAACCCUUGUAGUCC